CAUCCAGUGGCCUAGUGGAUAAGGCAUCCGCCGCUGGGGAUUGUGGGUUCAAGUCCCACCUGUGUCU
rnacentral:tRNA from 1 species